UUUUUCCAAGGUUGACCUCGGAUCAGGUAGGGAUACCCGCUGAACUUAAGCAUAUCAU
rnacentral:rRNA from 1 species